UCCCGGUGAUAAACUCCCACGACCUACCCCGACUCAGAGUCUCCAUAGACCCCGAGGAUGGAGGUCACAGUGCCCCGAACCCUCCUCCUGCUGCUCUCGGGGGCCCUGGUCCUGACCGAGACCUGGGCGGGCUCCCACUCCAUGAGGUAUUUUUCUACCGCUGUGUCCCGGCCCGGCCGCGGGGAGCCCCGCUUCAUCUACGUCGGCUACGUGGACGACACGCAGUUCGUGCGGUUCGACAGCGACGCCGCGAGUCCGAGGGUGGAGCCGCGGGCGCCGUGGGUGGAGCAGGAGGGGCCGGAGUAUUGGGACCGGGAGACACGGAAGGCCAAGGGCCACGCACAGACUGUCCGAGUGAACCUGCAGGCCCUGCGCGGCUACUACAACCAGAGCGAGGCCGGUGAGUGACCCCGGGCUCGGGUCACAGGUCACGACCCCUCCCCACCCCGCACGGACGGGCCGGGGUCUCCUAGUCUCUGGGUCGGAGCUCACCCCGAAGCCGCAGGACCUGCCCUGCCCCUCAACCCGAGAAGAGCUCGAGGGAAUUCGCUCCGGGUUCCCUUUCGAUUGGGGGGCGGGGGUGGGACUGAGUGGGCGUGGCUGACCUCGGGGCGGGGCCAGGGUCUCACACACUCCAGUUGAUGUACGGCUGUGACAUCGCGCCCGGCUGUGACAUCGCGCCCGACGGUCGCCUACUCCGCGGGUACUGGCAAUACGCCUACGACGGCGCCGACUACCUCUCCCUGAACGAGGACCUGCGUUCCUGGACCGCGGCGGACACCGCGGCUCAGAUCUCCAAGCGCAAAGCCGAGGAGGCCGGUGAUGCGGAGCACCAGAGGGCCUACCUGGAGGGAACGUGCGUGGACUGGCUCCGCAGAUACCUGGAGCACGGGAAGGACACGCUGCAGCGCGCGGAUCCCCCAAAGACACAUGUGACCCACCACCCCAUCUCUGACCGGGAGGCCACCCUGAGGUGCUGGGCCCUGGGCUUCUACCCUGCGGAGAUCACACUGACCUGGCAGCGGGAUGGGGAGGACCAGACCCAGGACACGGAGUUUGUGGAGACCAGGCCUGCAGGGGAUAGAACCUUCCAGAAGUGGGCGGCUGUGGUGGUGCCUUCUGGAGAGGAGCAGCGAUACACGUGCCGUGUGCAGCACAAGGGGCUGCCGGAGCCCCUCACCCUGAGAUGGGAGCCGCCUUCCCAGCCCAGCGUCCCCAUGGUGGGCCUCCCUCCUGGCCUGAUUCUCCUUGGAGCUGUGCUCACUGGAGCUGUGGUAGCCGGAGCUGUGGUUGCCACUUUGAUGUGGCAGAAGAUGAGCUAAGGUGGAAAGGGAGGGACAUACAUUUAGGCUGCCAGGCACUGAUGUGUCUCUCAUGGCUUGGAAAGGUAAGAUGCUGGGGGGCCUCAUGUGGCAGGGGGCGGAACAGAGGGGACAUGAAUGCUCCACAGAGGUGAGGCUGGGAUGUCUCCAUUCCUGUCUUAACUUCCUGGUGCACUGAGCCACAUCUUCUUACUUGUCAUAUUCUUGCCAUAAAGUGUCAUUGAGGAAGCUGAGCUCAGAGCUAGAAAGAUAGACAAAUGAUUCCAAGUAUUUCUCCAGCAAAUGUAGCCUGUUCACCUGUAAUCUUGAUCAUGGCCCUCAGAGAUGAAUAUUGUUUUCAUAUUGCUGUGGUUUGAAUGUCCCCUUGAAAAGUCAUGUUGAAACUUAAUCCCUAAUGUAGCAGUACUGAAAGGUGGCGCCUUUAAGAGGUGAUUGAAGGCCAGGCAUGGUGGCUUAU